rnacentral:rRNA from 1 species
GAUGAACGCUGGCGGCGUGCCUAAUACAUGCAAGUCGAGCGAACGGACGAGAAGCUUGCUUCUCUGAUGUUAGCGGCGGACGGGUGAGUAACACGUGGAUAACCUACCUAUAAUACUGGGAUAACUUCGGGAAACCGUAGCUAAUACCGGAUAAUAUUUUGAACCGCAUGGUUCAAAAGUGAAAGACGGUCUUGCUGUCACUUAUAGAUGGAUCCGCGCUGCAUUAGCUAGUUGGUAAGGUAACGGCUUACCAAGGCAACGAUGCAUAGCCGACCUGAGAGGGUGAUCGGCCACACUGGAACUGAGACACGGUCCAGACUCCUACGGGAGGCAGCAGUAGGGAAUCUUGCGCAAUGGGCGAAAGCCUGACGGAGCAACGCCGCGUGAGUGAUGAAGGUCUUCGGAUCGUAAAACUCUGUUAUUAGGGAAGAACAUAUGUGUAAGUAACUGUGCACAUCUUGACGGUACCUAAUCAGAAAGCCACGGCUAACUACGUG